CAGUCGCCGCGGUAAUACAGAGGGUGCAAGCGUUAAUCGGAAUUACUGGGCGUAAAGCGCGCGUAGGUGGUUUGUUAAGUUGGAUGUGAAAUCCCCGGGCUCAACCUGGGAACUGCAUCCAAAACUGGCAAGCUAGAGUAUGGUAGAGGGUGGUGGAAUUUCCUGUGUAGCGGUAAAAUGCGUAGAUAUAGGAAGGAACACCAGUGGCGAAGGCGACCACCUGGACUGAUACUGACACUGAGGUGCGAAAGCGUGGGGAGCAAACAGGAUUAGAUACCCCUGUAGUCCCUGUCUCUUAUAC
rnacentral:rRNA from 1 species